UUCUUAUUAGUUUAAUGGUAGAACAAGAUAUUCCUAAUAUCCUAAUCUAAGUUCGAGUCUUAGGUAAGAAA
rfam:Bipolaris zeicola 26-R-13 unplaced genomic scaffold scaffold_632, whole genome shotgun sequence.